GGUGGUUAUAGUUCAACAGGUAGAGCAACUGUAUGUGGCACAGUAAGUUCUUGGUUCGAGUCCAAGUAUCCACC
rnacentral:tRNA from 4 species